UGCCAGCAGCCGCGGUAACACGAACCGUACAAACGUUAUUCGGAAUCACUGGGCUUAAAGAGUGCGUAGGCGGCUUGGAAAGUUGGGUGUGAAAGCCCUCGGCUCAACCGAGGAAUUGCGCCCAAAACUGUCAAGCUUGAGGGAGACAGAGGUGAGCGGAACUGAUGGUGGAGCGGUGAAAUGCGUUGAUAUCAUCAGGAACACCGGUGGCGAAAGCGGCUCACUGGGUCUCUUCUGACGCUGAGGCACGAAAGCUAGGGGAGCGAACGGGAUUAGAUA
rnacentral:rRNA from 1 species